AUCUAUGGCCAUGCCACCCUGAAUAAGCCUAAUAUCUGAUCUUGGAAGCUAAGCAGGGUUGGGCCUGGAUAGUACUUUGAUGGGAGACCACCUAGGAAAACCAGGUGCUGUAGCCA
rnacentral:rRNA from 1 species